rnacentral:rRNA from 1 species
AUGAACGCUGGCGGCGUGCCUAAUACAUGCAAGUCGAGCGAACAGACGAGGAGCUUGCUCCUCUGACGUUAGCGGUGGACGGGUGAGUAACCCGUGGAUAACCUACCUAUAAGACUGGGAUAACUUCGGGAAACCGGAGCUAAUACCGGAUAAUAUAUUGAACCGCAUGGUUCAAUAGUUAAAGACUGUUUUGCUGUCACUUAUAGAUGGAUCCGCGCCGCAUUAGCUAGUUGGUAAGGUAACGGCUUACCAAGGCAACGAUGCGUAGCCGACCUGAGAGGGUGAUCGGCCACACUGGAACUGAGACACGGUCCAGACUCCUACGGGAGGCAGCAGUAGGGAAUCUUCCGCAAUGGGCGAAAGCCCGACGGAGCAACGCCGCGUGAGUGAUGAAGGUCUUCGGAUCGUAAAACUCUGUUAUUAGGGAAGAACAAAUGUGUAAGUAACUAUGCACGUCUUGACGGUACCUAAUCAGAAAGCCACGGCUAACUACGUG